rnacentral:rRNA from 1 species
GACGAACGCUGGCGGCGUGCUUAACACAUGCAAGUCGAACGAUGAAACCUAGCUUGCUAGGUCGAUUAGUGGCGAACGGGUGAGUAACACGUGACUAACCUGCCCCUUUCUCUGGGAUAACGCUCCGAAAGGAGUGCUAAUACCGGAUACUCACACCGAGGCACAUGCCUUGGUGUGGAAAGUUUUUCGGAAAGGGAUGGAGUCGCGGCCUAUCAGCUUGUUGGUGAGGUGACGGCUCACCAAGGCGACGACGGGUAGCCGGCCUGAGGGGGGGACCGGCCACCGUGGGACUGAGCAACGGCCCAGACUCCUACGGGAGGCAGCAGUGGGGAAUAUUGCACAAUGGGCGCAAGCCUGAUGCAGCGACGCCGCGUGAGAGAUGAAGGUCUUCGGAUUGUAAACCUCUUUCAGUAGGGACGAAGCGAAAGUGACGGUACCUAAAGAAGAAGCACCGGCUAACUACGUGCCAGCAGCCGCCGUAA